ACAAACAGUCCUCAAGUUUUUAACAUGGGACUAUAACUUAAGGACCUCAUAUCCUUAACUUUUGAACUUGAAAUUCAAAGUUAAAGAUAGACAGUCCUUAAGUUUUUAACAUGGGACUAUAACUUAAGGACCUCAUAUCCUUAACUUUUGAACUUGAAAUUCAAAGUUAAGGACAGACAGUCAUUACGUUUUUAAUAUGGGACUAUAACUUAAGGACCUCAUGUCCUUAUCGUUUGAACUUAAAAUUCAAAGUUAAGGACAGACAGUCCUUAAGUUUUUAACAUGAGACUAUAACUUAAGGACCUCAUGUCCUUAACUUUUUAACUUGAAAUUCAAAGUUAAGGACAGACAGUCAUUACAUUUUCAAAAUUGCAAGUUGAACUUACUGACUCCUGUUAAUAACUUUUAAUUGUUGAACUCAAAAUAAAUUAAAAGAACGUAACAAGAUAUAAAUAUUGAAAAUCUAGGCAUCCGCUCAAAUUAGAAUAAUAAUGAAUACAAUCUAUAGCAAAAACGUAAAAGAGUCGAUAAACAUAAGUGUAUAUUUCUACUCUUCUCUAUGUUUUCUUGAAAAUGGAUGGAGUGCCGG
rnacentral:lncRNA from 1 species